rnacentral:rRNA from 1 species
GGCGGCGUGCUUAACACAUGCAAGUCGAGCGGUAAGGCCCUUCGGGGUACACGAGCGGCGAACGGGUGAGUAACACGUGGGUGAUCUGCCCUGCACUUCGGGAUAAGCCUGGGAAACUGGGUCUAAUACCGGAUAUGACCAAAGGCUGCAUGGUUUUUGGUGGAAAGGUUUACUGGUGCAGGAUGGGCCCGCGGCCUAUCAGCUUGUUGGUGGGGUAAUGGCCUACCAAGGCGACGACGGGUAGCCGACCUGAGAGGGUGACCGGCCACACUGGGACUGAGACACGGCCCAGACUCCUACGGGAGGCAGCAGUGGGGAAUAUUGCACAAUGGGCGAAAGCCUGAUGCAGCGACGCCGCGUGAGGGAUGACGGCCUUCGGGUUGUAAACCUCUUUCAGCAGGGACGAAGCGAAAGUGACGGUACCUGCAGAAGAAGCACCGGCCAACUACGUGCCAGCAGCCGCGGUAAUACGUAGGGUGCAAGCGUUGUCCGGAAUUACUGGGCGUAAAGAGCUCGUAGGCGGUUUGUCGCGUCGUCUGUGAAAACUCGAGGCUCAACCUCGAGCUUGCAGGCGAUACGGGCAGACUUGAGUACUGCAGGGGAGACCGGAAUUCCUGGUGUAGCGGUGAAAUGCGCAGAUAUCAGGAGGAACACCGGUGGCGAAGGCGGGUCUCU